rnacentral:lncRNA from 1 species
CCAGCUUGGGAGUUGAGUAGGAGGGCAAGAGUUUGGACUGCUUUGAAAUGGGAGGUUUAAUUGAUAGAACUGGCGAUUGUUUGGCCUAUAGCAUUGGAGGGAUAAACUUAUUUGACAGCUAUCGGCUUGUGGAGGACAGAUUUUUAUUAUUUAAUGUAGACACAGUUCAGAAAUGAACCUGGAACUAAAACCACAGUGAGAAGCUUUGAGCAGAGAUGCUCUGGCUUCCAGAGGAUAGGUUGUUAGUCUCAGCAAUCUAGGGGCUAAUAAUCUGUGCACUUAGUACUCAGCAAAGUGGUUUACUUUCACCACCAAAUCCGCAAAGCUUUC